rnacentral:rRNA from 1 species
AACGAACGCUGGCGGCAGGCUUAACACAUGCAAGUCGAACGCGUGUAGCAAUACACGAGUGGCGCACGGGUGAGUAACGCGUGGAUAUCUGCCUUUUGGUUCGGAAUAACCCCGGGAACUGGGGCUAAUACCGGAUGGUUCCUUCGGGAUAAAGAUUUAUCGCCAAAAGAUGAGUCCGCGUCCGAUUAGCUAGUUGGUGAGGUAAUGGCUCACCAAGGCGACGAUCGGUAGCUGGUCGAGAGGACGAUCAGCCACACUGGGACUGAGACACGGCCCAGACUCCUACGGGAGGCAGCAGUGGGGAAUAUUGGACAAUGGGGGCAACCCUGAUCCAGCCAUGCCGCGUGAGUGAUGAAGGCCUUCGGUUGGUUAAGU